rnacentral:misc_RNA from 1 species
CGCAUACACGAAGCCGAAAGCGUGUACACGCCCAUGUGUAUAUAUUCAGCACAUACGCAAACAACAGCCCAGCCCAAGGAUAAAAGCAAACAAACCACACGAGCGCGGCGCGGCGCGGCUGCCACCUAGAAAACGCCCGCGGGCGCACGAUGAAGAAGGCGGCGGCGGCGGCGGCAGUCCUGGCUACCCUUCUCCUCUCCUCGGCGGUGUCGCCCACCGCCGUGUCCGGGCAGCAGCCGUGGACGAACCAGCAGACGGCGGCCAACAACCCGCGGCUGCACAAGGCGUACGUGGCGCUGCAGGCGCUGAAGCGCGCGAUCACGGAGGACCCCAGGAACCUGACGCGGGGCUGGUGCGGGCCCGACGUGUGCGCCUACUUCGGCGUCUACUGCGCGGCGGCGCCCGACGGCGACGCGGACACGGACACGCAGACCGUGGCCGGGCUCGACCUCAACCACGGCGACCUGGCAGGGACGCUCCCGGAGGAGCUGGGCCUGCUGGCCGACCUCGCGCUGCUCCACCUCAACUCCAACCGCUUCGCGGGCACACUCCCGGACUCGCUGCCCGCGCUGCGGCUGCUCCACGAGCUGGACGUCAGCAACAACCGCCUCUCCGGCGGCUUCCCGCGCCACGUCCUCUGCCUGCCAAACCUCCGGUACGUCGACCUCCGCUUCAACCGCCUGCGCGGGCCCGUGCCGCCCGCGCUCUUCGACAAGCCGCUCGACGCCGUCUUCCUCAACGACAACCUCUUCGACUUCGAGCUCCCGGAGAGCCUCGGCAACUCGCCGGCCUCCGUGCUCGUGCUCGCCAACCUGCGCCUGCGCGGCUGCAUCCCGCGGAGCGUGGCCCGCAUGGCGGACACGCUCAACGAGCUCGUCUGUUAGCAACACAGAUCAAGAAGCCGGGCCAACUGCAGCAACCAAGGCCGACGCUGGAGCACGCACGUCUGGGAGAGUGAGGAGAAGGAAUACUAGAGUUUGUGGGCCGUCCUGGGUUAAUGGGCUGAGCGAAAGUAACUAGUAUAAAUACCUG